rnacentral:lncRNA from 1 species
AAAGAAGAUAAGAAUUUUGAUAUAAGAGAGUUUCAAAAGAUUACAUUGUUCCCCAACAAUCUAGGGUUUAGUUCACCAUAAUCAUGGUGAAUCUAGAUGAAAUACAAUGAAAGAAUGGAAGAAAUAACCCUAAACUUGGUAGAUUGGAGCCUAAGCAUCCAAGGAACCUCCUCCAAGGUGUGUGGAACAUAUUUGGAUGUUUCUCUCUGUCAAAAGAUUGAGUUUUGAUUCGCACUGGGUCUAUUUAUAGACCAAAAAGAUAACAGAAAGAUUUACAAAAUCUAAGCUAAUAAAAAUAGACAACCGCUCAGGCGCCUAAGUAAACCGCUCAGCGGUUUCCCCUUUAGCCGUUGGACCGCUCAGCGGUUAGUUUCACCGCUGAGUGGUUUGCCUCUAAUCGUCUUAGACGCUCAACGGUCCCUUCUGACGCUCAACGGUCCCUUUGACUCUUCUUUUCAUCCUUUUUCUUCAUCUUUCAUGAGUCUAAGUCCACCUUGAUUUACUUCCUUCCUCAAUUCUCAUCAAAACCCUGUAAAACAAUGUAAAAAAAAGCAUAAUAUCUCUAAAACCAACUUUUGACUCUCUCAUGACUCAACUAAGUGUUUUACUUUAUUUUAAGUUCAUUCUAAGCCAUAAAGAGUGUGUUUUGGUAUCAAAUUUAAGUAUGAAAAUGACAAUUUUUCAACCGUUAUCACAUAACAUUGUGUUUUAAUCGAUUAUGCAACUUAUGUAGUCGUUUAUUACACAUUUGUUUGUCUUUGUUAAGCAUACAAGGGAUCUGGAGAAAUCUAACAGAUUAUAUACAUUGCUUAACCGAUUAUUUCAUCCAUAAAUGAAAUGUUCAAUCUGUUUUAUAGCAUGAUUCAUCAACAAAAAAAUAUUUCAUAUAACCCACAUGUUUUCCCCUUCAUAUCUAUUAUUUGAAUAUUUCAAUUUUCUAAUUUCCUCAUGUAGUUAUUGAAAAGCAUCAAGCAAUUCACAAUAUUUAUUCUCGUCGUUAUUAAAGUCAAAGUUGCUUACACUGGCUUUGGAGGAUCCUAAACCAACCAUCAAUCAUAAAUUUGUUUCUCAUUGGAUUCAUUGGAAGUAUUUGAGGCAUUGUCUUCCUAGGCGAUAUAUGCAUUGUUCUUUUCACUCUUCUCUGCUUCAGCUUGAGCAUAAGAUAGUUAGGCUUGAUGUGGCCAAUUUUACCACAUCCAAAGCAUGCUGGAGUAAUGAGCUGUUCUUACUUCUUG